rnacentral:rRNA from 1 species
GACGAACGCUGGCGGCGUGCUUAACACAUGCAAGUCGAACGGAAAGGCCCUGCUUUUGUGGGGUGCUCGAGUGGCGAACGGGUGAGUAACACGUGAGUAACCUGCCCUUGACUUUGGGAUAACUUCAGGAAACUGGGGCUAAUACCGGAUAGGAGCUCCUGCUGCAUGGUGGGGGUUGGAAAGUUUCGGCGGUUGGGGAUGGACUCGCGGCUUAUCAGCUUGUUGGUGGGGUAGUGGCUUACCAAGGCUUUGACGGGUAGCCGGCCUGAGAGGGUGACCGGCCACAAUGGGACUGAGAGACGGCCCAGAGUCCUACGGGAGGCAGCAGUGGGGAAUAUUGCACAAUGGGCGGAAGCCUGAUGCAGCAACGCCGCGUGCGGGAUGACGGCCUUCGGGUUGUAAACCGCUUUCGCCUGUGACGAAGCGUGAGUGACGGUAAUGGGUAAAGAAGCACCGGCUAACUACGUG